CCCGCCAGCCCGCCUCCCUCCCUCCCUAGGAAUCCCAAGCGGCGAAGGAGCGGCACCCGCAGUGUGCGGCUCCCCCUGGCUGUUUGGAGCGGGCUAAGCGAAGGGAGGGGAAGCCCGAAGAGCUGCAAGAAGGCGCCGCCGCCGCCGCCGCCGCUUCAUCCUGCGGCACCAGGAGGCAGGGAGAACGAGAGCGCGCGGCCGCGACAGAAGCGAAGCAAGCCCAUGUGCGCAGAUGGCAGUGUGGAAGCCAAAUAAAAAUACUGGAAGAAGUUAUUUAUUUCUCUUGGUGAGAAAAUGAAGAGAUUGUACACAUGACUGGGCUUGGGAACUUGAGAAACCACAGGAAUGAGGUGUUCAUGACUUUUUUACUUUGGAACUUGACCAUGAGGGGGAAACCUGCUUUUCUGACAGCAGCGUUUUGUAAUACAACUUGCCUAGCUGUGGUGUUGAAGGAAUUUUUUGUUAACGGAAGCUGUAAAAUCUAUCACCAGGAAGUAUUAUUUCCUUGGAAUGGGUAAGUGAGAAGUGUUGCCUGUUCUUGAGGAUUGUCUUCUAACAAGUGUGAAAAAUUGUGCCUAAAUUAGUAGGUUUUUAAUUACUG
rnacentral:lncRNA from 1 species